GGUUAACGCUGGCGGUAUGUAUAAUACAUGCAAGUCGAGCGCCCCUUAACUGUGUCUUUGAUUCGUUCAAAGGUACCGUUAAGGGGAGCGGCGAACGGGUGAGUAACACGUUGGAACCUGCCCCGAACUCAGGGAUAACCCGCCGAAAGGCGUGGCUAAUACCGGAUAGUCCCGAAAGGGUAAAGAUUUUUCGGUUCGGGAGGGGCCUGCGGCCUAUCAGCUUGUUGGUAAGGUAAUGGCUUACCAAGGCUAUGACGGGUAACUGGUCUGAGAGGAUGACCAGUCACAAUGGGGCUGAGACACGGCCCAUACUCCUACGGGAGGCAGCAGUAGAGAAUCUUCCACAAUGGGCGAAAGCCUGAUGGAGCAAUACCGCGUGGGUGAUGACGGUCGAAAGAUUGUAAAACCCUUUUCUGAGGGAAGAAUUCUGACGGUACCUCAGGAAUAAGCACCGGCUAACUCCGUGCCAGCAGCCGCGGUAAUACGGAGGGUGCAAGCGUUACCCGGAAUUAUUGGGCGUAAAGCGUCCGCAGGCGGUUUGUUAAGCUGGAUAUUAAAUCUUAAAGCCCAACUUUGAGGCUGUAUUCAGAACUGGCAAACUAGAGGCAUUCAGAGGUGCGUAGAAUUCUGUGUGUAGGGGCAAAAUCCGUAGAUACACAGAGGAAUACCAAAAGCGAAGGCAGCGUACUGGGAAUGUCCUGACGCUCAUGGACGAAAGCGUGGGUAGCGAACGGGAUUAGAUACCCCGGUAGUCCACGCCGUAAACGAUGGAUACUAGGUGUUGGAGGACUCGAUCCUUUCAGUGCCGAAGCUAACGCAUUAAGUAUCCCGCCUGGGGAGUACGAUCGCAAGAUUAAAACUCAAAGGAAUAGACGGGGACCCACACAAGCGGUGGAGCAUCUGGUUUAAUUCGAUAUUGAGCGAGGAACCUUACCUGGACUUGACAUCCCGAGAAUUCUUUGGAAACAAAGAAGUGCCUUUUGGAACUCGGUGACAGGUGCUGCAUGGUUGUCGUCAGCUCGUGCCUUGAGGUGUUCGGUUAAGUCCGUAAACGAGCGCAACCCAUGUCCUGUGUUGUAUUUUUCACAGGAGACUGCCAGUUCAAAACUGGAGGAAGGUAUGGAUGACGUCAAAUCAGCAUGGCCCUUAUGUCCAGGGCUACACAGGUGCUACAAUGGCUGGUACAAUGGGCAGCAAUAUCGCAAGAUGGAGCCAAUCCCAAAAGCCAGUCUAAGUUCGAAUUGAGGGCUGCAACUCGCCCUCAUGAAGUUGGAAUCGCUAGUAACCGCGGAUCAGCAAUGGCGCGGUGAAUAUGUUCCUGGGUCUUGUACUCACCGCCCGUCACACUAUGAAAGGUGGGGGCACCCGAAGUACCUUUAGUUCCGUUUCGGCGGGACGAGGUCCUAAGGUGAAACCACUGAUUAGAGUG
rnacentral:rRNA from 1 species